UACGGAAGGCAGCAGUGGGGAAUAUUGCACAAUGGGCGCAAGCCUGAUGCAGCCAUGCCGCGUGUAUGAAAAAGGCCUUCGGGUUGUAAAGUACUUUCAGUCGUGAGGAAGGUGUUAAGGUUAAUAACCUUAGCAAUUGACGUUAGCGACAGAAGAAGCACCGGCUAACCCCGUGCCAGCAGCCGCGGUAAUACGGAGGGUGCGAGCGUUAAUCGGAAUUACUGGGCGUAAAGGGCACGCAGGCGGUUAAUUAAGUUGGAUGUGAAAUCCCCGGGCUUAACCUGGGAAUGGCAUUCAAGACUGGUUAGCUAGAGUCUUGUAGAGGGGGUAGAAUUCCAUGUGUAGCGGUGAAAUGCGUAGAGAUGUGGAGGAAUACCGGUGGCGAAGGCGGCCCCUGGACAAAGACUGACGCUCAUGUGCGAAAGCGUGGGGAGCAAACAGGGAUUAGAUACC
rnacentral:rRNA from 1 species